rnacentral:rRNA from 1 species
UACGAACUGUGCGAACGUUGUUCGGAAUCACUGGGCUUAAAGGGUGCGUAGGCGGCUUGUUAAGUCGGGGGUGAAAUACUUCGGCUCAACCGGAGAAUUGCCUUCGAUACUGGCGAGCUGGAGGAAGGUAGGGGUCGCGGGAACUGCCAGUGGAGCGGUGAAAUGCGUAGAUAUCUAGAGGAACGCCAAAGGUGAAGACAGGCGACUGGUUUGCAACUGACGCUCAUGGACGAAAGCGUGGGGAUCAAACGGG